UCCACGCCGUAAACGAUGUCGAUUUGGAGGUUGUGCCCUUGAGGCGUGGCUUCCGGAGCUAACGCGUUAAAUCGACCGCCUGGGGAGUACGGCCGCAAGGUUAAAACUCAAAUGAAUUGACGGGGGCCCGCACAAGCGGUGGAGCAUGUGGUUUAAUUCGAUGCAACGCGAAGAACCUUACCUGGUCUUGACAUCCACAGAACUUUCCAGAGAUGG
rnacentral:rRNA from 1 species